UACGGGGGGUGCAAGCGUUAUUCGGAAUUACUGGGCGUAAAGAGCGCGUAGGCGGUCUAUUAAGUCGGGUGUGAAAUCCCGGGGCUCAACCCCGGAAGUGCACUUGAAACUAAUGGACUUGAGUAUGGGAGAGGGAAGUGGAAUUCCUGGUGUAGCGGUGAAAUGCGUAGAUAUCAGGAGGAACAUAGGUGGCGAAGGCGACUUCCUGGACCAAUACUGACGCUGAGGCGCGAAGGCGUGGGGAGCAAACAGG
rnacentral:rRNA from 1 species